rnacentral:rRNA from 1 species
AUUGAACGCUGGCGGCAGGCCUAACACAUGCAAGUCGAACGGUAACAGGAAACAGCUUGCUGUUUCGCUGACGAGUGGCGGACGGGUGAGUAAUGUCUGGGAAACUGCCUGAUGGAGGGGGAUAACUACUGGAAACGGUAGCUAAUACCGCAUAACGUCGCAAGACCAAAGUGGGGGACCUUCGGGCCUCUUGCCAUCGGAUGUGCCCAGAUGGGAUUAGCUAGUAGGUGGGGUAACGGCUCACCUAGGCGACGAUCCCUAGCUGGUCUGAGAGGAUGACCAGCCACACUGGAACUGAGACACGGUCCAGACUCCUACGGGAGGCAGCAGUGGGGAAUAUUGCACAAUGGGCGCAAGCCUGAUGCAGCCAUGCCGCGUGUAUGAAGAAGGCCUUCGGGUUGUAAAGUACUUUCAGCGGGGAGGAAGGGAGUAAAGUUAAUACCUUUACUCAUUGACGUUACCCGCAGAAGAAGCACCGGCUAACUCCGUG